UCUUAUGAUGAAAGAAACCGUCCAGUUCUGCUACUGAAGGGAGAGUGAUGAAAGCUUUUAAUACUGAGGAA